rnacentral:rRNA from 1 species
ACGGGAGGCGCAGUGGGGAAUAUUGGACAAUGGGGGAAACCCUGAUCCAGCGACGCCGCGUGAGUGAAGAAGUAUUUCGGUAUGUAAAGCUCUAUCGGCAAGGAAGAAAAUGACGGUACUUGACUAGGAAGCCCCGGCUAACUACGUGCCAGCAGCCGCGGUAAUACGUAGGGGGCAAGCGUUAUCCGGAUUUACUGGGUGUAAAGGGAGCGUAGACGGCAAAGCAAGUCUGAAGUGAAAGCCCCGGGCUCAACCCGGGAACUGCUUUGGAAACUGUUUAGCUAGAGUGCAGGAGAGGUAAGUGGAAUUCCUAGUGUAGCGGUGAAAUGCGUAGAUAUUAGGAGGAACACCAGUGGCGAAGGCGGCUUACUGGACUGUAACUGACGUUGAGGCGCGAAAGCGUGGGGAGCAAACAGGAUUAGAUACCCUGGUA